rnacentral:rRNA from 1 species
AAACUCUACAAUGCAGGAGACUGCGAUAGGGGGACAUCGAGUGGCAUCCACCUUGGGCCUGUCCACCGUACGGUUGUAGCAAGGGCCGGCAAGACCGGUGCCAGCCGCCGCGGUAAUACCGGCGGCUCGAGUGGUGGCCGAUAUUAUUGAGUCUAAAGGGUCCGUAGCCGGCUUAGUAGUCUUUUGGGAAAUCCAGCGACUUAAUCGUUGGGCUCCAUGAGAUACUGUUUUGCUUGGGACUGGGAGAGGUAGGAGGUACUCAAGGGGUAGGAGUGAAAUCCUGUAAUCCUUUGGGGACCACCGGUGGCGAAGGCGUCUGACUAGAACGGUCCGACGGUGAGGGACGAAGCCCUGGGGGCGC